UACGUAGGGGGGCUAGCGUUGUCCGGAUUUAUUGGGCGUAAAGAGCGUGUAGGCGGCCUGACAGGUCUGCUGUGAAAACUCGAGGCUCAACCUCGAGAUGUCGGCGGAAACCGUCUGGCUAGAGUCCGGAAGAGGAGAGUGGAAUUCCUGGUGUAGCGGUGAAAUGCGCAGAUAUCAGGAAGAACACCUAUGGCGAAGGCAGCUCUCUGGGACGGUACUGACGCUGGAGACGCGAAAAGCGUGGGGAGCGAACAGG
rnacentral:rRNA from 1 species